GGCUCCAACAAUCUGAGGGUCAUGUCUGCUUUUCAUUGCCACCUAUUCCACUGCUGCUUUCCUCUGUAAUGAGUCCUGGUGAGCCGACAAGGUCAGGUGGCACAGACACAUGGAAAUAUUGUUUCUUUUUCAUGUGCUAGCUCUGUGUGUUUGCACUGGAUCAUUUCACCAUCUCCGUGUGUUUGUGUGUGUGUGUACGUAGGGACGCACAUCAAGCUACAAAGCCACCAAGACUUUAGUGCACUAUGAGAGUUGGCUCUCUCCAGUGCCAUUGAUGCAGUGCUCCAGUGAACAGCAUCAACUAGUGUGGUGGCAAGGUCACAGAGGGGGCUGCAGUCUAUCCCAGCAUAGGGUGAAAAGCAUCCUGGGCAGGUCGCAAGCCUAUCACAGGAAUCCCAUCAUACAGUGCUGUGAAAAAGUGGUUGCCCCCUUCCUGAUUUCCUGUUUUUUGCAUAUUUGUCAACUUAAAUCGUUAAACAUGAAUAUUAGACACAAGUAAACACAAAAUGCUGUUUCUAAUUGAAAGUGUUUAUUAUUAAGGAGAAAAGAAAAUUCAAACCUACAUGGCCCUGUAUGAAAAAGAUGUGAAUCUGCUGGUGUGUUGUGGAUCAUUGUCCUGCUGCAGAACCCAAGUGAGGUCAGUCAGCUUGAGGUCACAAACAGAUGGCUGGACUUUCACCUUCAUGAUGUUUGGUAGAAAGCAGAAUUUAUGGUUCCAUUUACCACAGCGAGUCUUCCAGGUUCUGGGGCAAAACAGCCCCAGACCAUCACACUACCAUGCUGAGUUACUUUUAUGCCAGAUGUAAUGGGACACACACCUUCCAACAAGUUAGACUUUUGUCUCAUCAGUCCACAGAGUAUUUUCCCUAAAGUCAAGAUCAAGAUCAUCAAGAUCAUCAAGUUUUCUGGCAAAACUGAGAUGAGUCUUUAUGUUCCUUUUGCUCAGGAGGACCUCCUGGACCUCUGGCCAUUUUCGCCCAGUCUCAUUCUUAUGGUGGAGUCAUGAACCUUAACUGCAAGCCUCAUUGAGGCAAGUGAGGCUUGCAGUUCUUUGGAUGUUGUUCUGGCGUUUUUUGUUCUUUGGUGACCUCUUGGGUUAGUUGUCACUACGCUCUUGGGGUAAUUUUGGUCAACCGGCCACUCGUGGGAAGGUUCACCACUGUUCCAUAUUUUAUACUCCAUAUACUCAGGAAGAACUGAAAAAUUAAAUUAUUUGAGGACUACACUAAAUUUAUGUCAGGGAAACUCAGCCAGAGAGACUAUCAACCAACCAACUACUCAUUGCAUACGGGAUUUGAACACCAUUGUACUGUAAAAACAUUGCCUGCCUUUUAUGGAGUACCAAG